AUUUGUUCAAUUUUUAGCCAAAAACGAAGUUAGCCCCUAUAUUGAUCCUCACCUCCAUGCACUGUGGAACUCCUUUCAACAAGGGUGGUAUUAAUAGGAUUUAGCUGAGAAGUAGCUAAUAAGCUCUUUUGGUUCUCACCAGAAGGUGGUGAUGGAUUCAUGCAUUGUGUUUUCUCAUUCUCGGACAAUGGGACAGAUGUCAUUGGACCAGUAACCAAAACGGUCCCUGGUUCAAUGCCGCCACCAUGAUUUGCACCAUCNNNNNNNNCCUGUAUGGCAAAAAUAACCUGUAUGAACUGCGGUGGUAGUAGGCAGGAUAGUAUUUAAUGAUGUGGAUGAGGGUGCAGCUCCCUUUUUCAUCUUCGACUUGAUAUUUUCUUCACAAUGUUUCAGAACCAUAGAGAUGCUUGCAUAACGGCCAUGCAAUAGAGUGUAAGCCCAUAACAAGAGCUUCCUUGGAAUGCUCAGAUCUAGAAUUUCAACUGCAUUUAAGACAGGCUGAAGUUGUGUUUCCAUUGGUAGGCGAGUUGGAACCAAAUAAAGGUUGAGACCAGAUGGAAGCAUUACACAGGAACUCUCACGGAAGAAAUUAUAAGAGCUUCUAAGCAAGGAAUUGGCUAUCUCAAAAUUUUCAUCUGAAGCUCUUUCUAUAAUGAUGUUCUUAAUUUUAUCCAACACUGGAUUCCAUUUUGUUUCAAGAUUUUCAAAAAGGGUAGAAUCCUCAAAUGCUGAAC
rnacentral:misc_RNA from 1 species